rnacentral:rRNA from 1 species
UACGUAGGGGUGCAGCGUUGUCCGGAUUUAUUGGGCGUAAAGAGCGUGUAGGCGGCCAGGUAGGUCUGCUGUGAAAACUCGAGGCUCAACCUCGAGACGUCGGCGGAAACCAUCUGGCUAGAGUCCGGAAGAGGAGAGUGGAAUUCCUGGUGUAGCGGUGAAAUGCGCAGAUAUCAGGAAGAACACCCGUGGCGAAGGCGGCUCUCUGGGACGGUACUGACGCUGAGACGCGAAAGCGUGGGGAGCGAACAGG